rnacentral:rRNA from 1 species
GAUGAACGCUAGCGGGAGGCUUAACACAUGCAAGUCGAGGGGCAGCACGAGAUAGCAAUAUUUUGGUGGCGACCGGCGCACGGGUGAGUAACGCGUAUGCAACCUACCUUGUACAGGGGGAUAACUCGGAGAAAUCCGGACUAAUACCCCAUAAUGAUAUUGAGAGGCAUCUUUUGAUAUUUAAAGUUCCGACGGUACAGGAUGGGCAUGCGUAACAUUAGCUAGUUGGUAAGGUAACGGCUUACCAAGGCUACGAUGUUUAGGGGUCCUGAGAGGGUGGUCCCCCACACUGGUACUGAGACACGGACCAGACUCCUACGGGAGGCAGCAGUGAGGAAUAUUGGUCAAUGGGCGCAAGCCUGAACCAGCCAUCCCGCGUGCAGGAAGACGGCCCUAUGGGUUGUAAACUGCUUUUCCAGGGGGCGAAUAGCUCUUACGUGUAAGGGUAUGACUGUACCUUGGGAAUAAGCAUCGGCUAACUCCGUGCCAGCAGCCGCGGUAAUACGGAGGAUGCGAGCGUUAUCCGGAUUUAUUGGGUUUAAAGGGUGCGUAGGUGGACUGUUUAGUCAGUGGUGAAAUACUGAUGCUCAACGUUAGCAUUGCCGUUGAAACUGACAGUCUUGAGAGUGAUUGAGGCAGGCGGAAAUGCGUGGUGUAGCGGUGAAAUGCAUAGAUAUCACGCAGAACUCCAAUUGCGAAAGGCAGCUUGCCAAGCCACAACUGACACUGAAAGCACGAAAGCGUGGGGAUCAAACAGGAUUAGAUACCCUGGUAGUCCACGCAGUAAACGAUGAUUACUAGGAGUUUGCGAUAGACAGUAAGCUCCCGAGCGAAAGCGUUAAGUAAUCCACCUGGGGAGUACGCCGGCAACGGUGAAACUCAAAGGAAUUGACGGGGGCCCGCACAAGCGGAGGAACAUGUGGUUUAAUUCGAUGAUACGCGAGGAACCUUACCCGGGAUUGAACGUAAGUGGAAUAACGUCAAAAGAUGUUAGCUAGCAAUAGCCACUUACGAGGUGCUGCAUGGUUGUCGUCAGCUCGUGCCGUGAGGUGUCGGCUUAAGUGCCAUAACGAGCGCAACCCUUAUUGCCAGUUACUAACAGGUAAAGCUGAGGACUCUGGCGAGACUGCCGGCGUAAGCUGUGAGGAAGGUGGGGAUGACGUCAAGUCAGCAUGGCAGUUACGCCUGGGGCUUCACACAUGCUACAAUGGGCAAAACAAAGGGCAGCGACGCCGCGAGGCAGAGCAAAUCCCAAAAAUAUGCCCUCAGUUCAGAUUGCAGUCUGCAACUCGACUGCAUGAAGGCGGAAUCGCUAGUAAACGCAGGUCAGCUAUACUGCGUUGAAUACGUUCCCGGGUCUUGUACACACCGCCCGUCAAGUCACCUGAAUUGUCUUCACCCGAAGUCCGUGGCCUAACCGUAAGGAAGGAGCGGCCGAAGGUGAGGGGAGUAAGGGGGACU